CGCAGGUGGAGCCGGAAGGAGACGGAGAGAGGAGAAGUGAGGGAAGAGCAGCAGAUACGAAUCGCUCGGUCGUUUGCUUCGGACUUCUCAUGACCUGGAAUACUUUUAUAAGGAUUUUGAUUUUUGUGAUGUGUGGACCCUUACGGACUAAAGGAAUAUGAGGAAUGAAGAGAGAACCGGAGUUUUACACAUCUAAACGAUCACAGCACUGAUGUGACGACAGCUGACAGGUCCAGUUAGAGGGGGGUGUGGACCGGCCAACUCGCUCUGCGGUGCUUUUCAUGGAUGAGGUCCUUCUAUUCAGUGAAGACAUGGAAGAAUCAAUUCCUGCAGAUUCACCCAGCGUCUGCAGACACCAGCCUCGGCUCACCUGUACUCUCUUGAUAUACUGAGUGACACCGACCACAUGUCAUCGAUCCACACGAGGGGCUCUGAGGACCACCUGCCACCCCGCGACGCUGCU